rnacentral:rRNA from 1 species
GACGAACGCUGGCGGCGUGCUUAACACAUGCAAGUCGAGCGGUAAGGCCCUUUCGGGGGUACACGAGCAGCGAACGGGUGAGUAACACGUGGGUGACCUGCCCUCAGCUCUGGGAUAAGCCUGGGAAACCGGGUCUAAUACCGGAUAUGACUCCAUGACGCAUGUUGUGGGGUGGAAAGCCUUGUGCGGCUGAGGAUGGGCCCGCGGCCUAUCAGCUUGUUGGUGGGGUGANGGCCUACCAAGGCGACGACGGGUAGCCGGCCUGAGAGGGCGACCGGCCACACUGGGACUGAGACACGGCCCAGACUCCUACGGGAGGCAGCAGUGGGGAAUCUUGCGCAAUGGGCGAAAGCCUGACGCAGCGACGCCGCGUGAGGGAUGACGGCCUCGGUU